rnacentral:rRNA from 1 species
AAUCAACGCUGGCGGCGUGCCUAACACAUGCAAGUCGCACGAGAAAGGGGGAGCAAUCCCUGAGUAAAGUGGCGCACGGGUGAGUAACACGUGAAUUAUCUACCUCCGAGUGGGGAAUAACUGAGAGAAAUCUUAGCUAAUACCGCAUAACACUUACGAGUCAAAGCAGCAAUGCGCUUGGAGAGGAGUUCGCGGCCGAUUAGUUAGUUGGCGGGGUAAUGGCCCACCAAGACGAUGAUCGGUAUCCGGCCUGAGAGGGCGCACGGACACACUGGAACUGAAACACGGUCCAGACUCCUACGGGAGGCAGCAGUGGGGAAUUUUGCGCAAUGGGGGAAACCCUGACGCAGCAACGCCGCGUGGAGGAUGAAGUAUCUUGGUACGUAAACUCCUUUCGAUUGGGGAAGAUAAUGACGGUACCAAUAGAAGAAGCCCCGGCUAACUUCGUGCCAGCAGCCGCGGUAAG